UUGACCUCAAAUCAGGUAGGACUACCCGCUGAACUUAAGCAUAUCAAUAAGCGGAGGAAAAGAAACUAACAAGGAUUCCCCUAGUAACUGCGAGUGAAGCGGGAAAAGCUCAAAUUUGAAAUCUGGCAGUCUUUUUUUUCUUCUUUGGCU
rnacentral:rRNA from 2 species